GCGAAACCCGCGCCGGUGUGCCUCGUAGGAAAGGACCGGUGCGGUGAAGGUGGGUAAAUCUCCGCCCUUGCCGGGGCAGGAGUGCCAUUUGGCGUUCGGCGUCCGGGAGUUACCGCUCCAUGGGCGCCGUCG
rfam:Streptomyces davawensis strain JCM 4913 complete genome